CUUUGACAAUGUUUUGUUUAUAAUACGAUAGCAAUUCACGACUUAAAACUAAAUUAGACAUUAUAGAAUUUUAGUACAGAUUAAAGAAGUUCCAGAAGUGUGCAUUAAACGUUCAUUUACGGACUUUCUCUUUAGCUGCAUAGAUACUGCCAGAAAAAGAGGGGUUGCAGACACAAGAUGGACAGCGCAAAAGGACUGAUGACUGUGAGCUGCCAAUUCCUUAAGAAGUGCAAUGUGAACCAGUGACUAGAGUAACAGCUAAGAAAAGAAAACUUUUUUUUGAUUUUUUGGAUUGUGUAUAUGUAUUUAGCUGCCAUUCAUACAAGUAAACAAGUAAUACUUGUAAGAGUGGCUGGGGGUGUUUGUAUAGCAAUAAUACAGCCUUCCCCAAUACGCUAAUGAAGAGACUGGUACCACCUUUAUUGUAUGCAUCCAGGUGGCUGCCUGGCGAGUCAGUGCUUCCUAGGGACUUGAUUGUGUGUCUUUAUAUAUAUAUCAUUCUGUCCAGUUUGCUAAAACAUUUGGUAUUCAUUGUGAAAGCAUGUUGAAUGUUCUGGAAGGAUGUAUAUUAUCGUGAUUGUCUGUGGAUUGUUGUCAUUAACAAAAUUAUGUACAGGUGCUUAGUUAGAUGUUUAAUGAAGAAAUUGAAGUGUUAAACAUUUGGCACCAAAUAUUAAGAGGAUGUGGAAAUGUUGGCAAAAGUGGCCAGUGCUAAUGACCUUAAUUGCAGUUGGUCGGUGGGUUGACACAGAGAACCUCAUUAUCUUGAGAAAUGGCUCAAAAGUUAUUACCAAGAAAUGUAGUUUCAUUUGUUAUCUAUUUUUAUGUUCUCCUUUGUAAUUAAUAUCCUUUGUAAUUACAUUUCUAAUUAACUCUCCAAUUGUUUACAUCACACAACUUUCCUAUUUUCAGAAAUUGAGACCUUAUUUGUAAAUUUUACGUAUGUAGUCAGCUAAAGCACGAGAUUUGUACUGUUAUUGAGUGUUAGUAAUCAAAUCCAAACUGUGAUUAAUUAUGUAACUGAAAUAAUACAAGAGACAUUAUGGAAUUAAAGUUCAGAUCGAUUUUAAUAUUUAAAACCAGUGAUGAUACUAUAAAAAUUACAUCAAUUAUAUUGUAUUUUACACCUUAUUUGGCUGUAACAUCAGUUUCUUUACGUUUUGUAAAUUUUAAUUGUAACAUCAAAAUCAUACAAAAUUAAAAAUGGGUUAUUUUGAAA